AAUGAACGUUGGCGGCAUGGAUUAGGCAUGCAAGUCGAGCGAGAAGGUUAUGAUUGACGCUUCGGUUGAUUUCAUAACUGGACAGCGGCGCAAGGGUGAGUAACGCGUAGUUAUCUGCCCCAGGGUUGGGAAUAGCCACGGGAAACUGUGGGUAAUGCCCAAUAAUAUCUCCGGAUCAAAGGUGUGAUUCCGCCCUGGGAGGGGACUGCGUUCUACUAGCUUGUUGGUGGGGUAAUGGCCUACCAAGGCUUUGAUGGAUAGCGGGCGUGAGAGCGUGGCCCGUCACACUGGGACUGAGACACUGCCCAGACACCUACGGGUGGCUGCAGUCGAGAAUCUUCGGCAAUGGGCGAAAGCCUGACCGAGCAAUGCCGCGUGCGGGAUGAAGGCCCUCGGGUUGUAAACCGCGAAAGUGAGGAGGAAGGGCCCGUGAAGAGCGGGUCUUGACCGAUCCACAGUAAGGACGGGCUAAGUUCGUGCCAGCCGCCGCCGUAACAC
rnacentral:rRNA from 1 species